UGGGGAAUUUUGGACAAUGGGCGAAAGCCUGAUCCAGCCAUGCCGCGUGAGUGAAGAAGGCCUUCGGGUUGUAAAGCUCUUUUAGUCGGAAAGAAAGAGUUGCAAUGAAUAAUUGUGAUUUAUGACGGUACCGACAGAAAAAGCACCGGCUAACUACGUGCCAGCAGCCGCGGUAAUACGUAGGGAGCAAGCGUUGUUCGGAUUUACUGGGCGUAAAGGGCGCGUAGGCGGCGCGGUAAGUCACUUGUGAAAUCUCUGAGCUUAACUCAGAACGGCCAAGUGAUACUGCUGUGCUAGAGUGCGGAAGAGGCAACCGGAAUUCUUGGUGUAGCGGUGAGAUGCGUAGAUAUCAAGAGGAACACCUGAGGCGAAGGCGGGUUGCUGGGCCGACACUGACGCUGAUGCGCGAAAGCCAGGGGAGCAAACG
rnacentral:rRNA from 1 species